AUACAAUUUCUUUACCAAUAGAUAAGACUGAAAGCAACACCAGCCAGUCUUGGGAAAUAUAAAGUCACAAAUAAAUUUUGAUAAUUUUUCAUUUCGUAAAGGAUCUUUCUGCUGAUGCAGCUGUUAAGAGUGUUUCAUAAACUGUGACAACACUAAGAGGCCAGGUGCAGUGCAUGUAAUCCCAGCACUUUGGGAGACUGAGAUGGGAAGAUCGCUUGAGGCCAGGAGUGCAAGACCAGCCUGGGCAACACAGCAAGACCUUGAUUCUACUAAAAAAAAAAAAGGAUCCUUCAACUUCAACAAUAAUAACACAAGGGAAGUGAAGAAAAACACUUUCUAAGGAAAUCUCUCUCUGAGCUACCAUCCUGCUAGGGAGAGCCUGAAAGCAGAAUGCUGACUUGACUAGCUCUGGUCAAUGAAAGAAAUCACCAGUGGAAAGGCUACCAGGGGGCUUUCUCAAAAGAGAGGGACAGU
rnacentral:lncRNA from 10 species